GAGCUGGAAGCGUUUAUGGAAUAUCACAUGGUUUUCGUUUACACAGGAAGUCAGCUGCAGCGGCCAUAAAACUAGCAGCCGUCUGUGUGAACAUGAGCCCCACAUUUUUAUGUGCUGCCUACUGGCAGCUGCAGGACAAGUGGGGACAAAGGCUGAUUGCUGCAGCCCUUUCAGUCUCCCAGCAUUAAACUGUAAUGUGACCUGUUCUCUGAAACCAAAUAUUUGCAAGGACACCCGGAAGGCACCUGGCUACCAAUCUCUUGAUCAGGAAACUGUGUGCCUCCUGUUGCUCAUUACCUAACUGAGGAACUAUCUGAGUCAGCAUGGUGCUUCUGAGGUUCUUCAGCUCCCAGUGAGCAGUCCACUCCGCACUGAGACAACGGGUUUGAAAGCUGCACCGAGGUCACCCACAGGAGCCUGCUCAUAGCGACUAUAAAAGGAAACUAAACUACAGAAGAUGGAAGGCAAAUUCCUACCCAGACCAGUUAGUCUGUUUCCACCUCUGCUGAUUAGCUGUAACACCCCUGGUUCAUGGACCACUGUGAGGGCCUGCUGUCUGAUGCUCACCAACCAGUUCUGAUUCCUCACGGGCCAUGGAUCAUUUUUAUGACUG